UGAAAUCUUAAGCCAAAUUAAAACAUUUAUUUGUUGUGAUAAAAAAUUAUGCGGUCCCCACUUUCUCUCUCCUUUUGAACGAGUUUGGAGGACCAGGUUUCCAAAGUUUGGCUGGAGAGGGGGAGAUCGAGAAUCAGGAAAGUGAGAUAGAGGGAGAGAAUACAAGACUGACCCAACCCUUCUGCAGCUGAAUUUCGACUGGUCUAUGCCCAUGAGAGAGAUGGAGGGAAGUUCAGAUCUCUGCUUGCUAUUUUUCAUUGGUGGGAAUUCAAUGUUACUGUUAUUGUCAUGAAAAAUUGGAUCUUCCGGGUCUGUUUUAUGCUUCUUUGAUUAUUGAAAGCUCCAUUUUCUUUCGCUUAUAUAGACUUUGCAUGAUGGAUUUUGUUGCUUUUGAUUUUUUACAGUGAUGAAUAUUUAUCAAUUUCUUUGUUGGAUAUGCAGUAAUUUGAACUUUUAGGGCUCUUGUAUGGGUACCUUAUUUUUAAUGUUCAUUUUUUCGCUAUGUGUUUAUUUUAAGGAUUUCAAUUGCCAUGUGCAUAUAACUAACAGCAAGCCAGUCAUUUUCAUUUGCAACUUGCCACGAUUGACUGCAAUGUUCCCAUCUAUUUGCACCUUAAUAUCGUUUCUUGUGGGUAUUCUUUUUCUCGAUUACUUUGCUCAUAAUUAUUCAUUGCUUGUAUUAUGAUUUAGUUUUCUGGCACAUAUGGUGUAUGGGUUCAUGCCAACGAAAAUCUUGAAGACAUUUUCUUUAUUAGAAAUUGGCCCUAUGCUUUCAUUAGUGUAUUCAUUUUCAGCAGAAAUGCAUGGCUGCACAUGUGCAUUAAUUCUGCAGCCUAUGAAUUUCAAACAGAAAAAAAUUAAGAAAAAUGGACAGGAUUUUGGGAUGGGGAUAAGUAUGGGAAGAGUCAACCUUUUUGGCCAGAUUUUAAAAAGAUCCGAUUGUAAGAAAUUCUGGACUAAUUCCACUUAAAUGAGCAUGGAACUGAAUUAUUUCAUUAUAUUUUUGGAAGUUUACACAUGACAACAAAUUUCUAUGCACUUUGUUUAGGACUUACACUAAUAAACACUAUUUUCAUAACUGGCUUGAUCAUUGAAUUGAAGAAGGUAGAGGAACAAGGGUCAGACUCGGAGGUUUAAUUAGGAUGAAAUUGGGGUCGUAAUCGAUAUAAUAUUAAUCAUAUUUUAGAUACUGAAAUUAGUUGAGUUAGUGAGACGUUUUCUACAGAUAUGAAAAUGCAGAGAAGUUACAGAUUCCUUAGAACUUCUAACAUAUGUGAUGUGUUAGCCUUUCAUCACGUAGAAAUUUUGCAUUCUUCAUCUUUCUUUUUCCUUUGGUUGUCUUCCCUAUUUGAUUGCCUUGCAGAUAUCAGAUGCAUGGUAUUUUCUCCAGCCCUUCCUAGAACAUCAUGACUACUUUGAAGUUUUGAUAUAUUUUGUCCCAGGAGUUGUCUCAAGAUUACCAACUUGGUUCACAAUGCUGUAUUGCUACAUUGCCUAUAUUGUGAAGAAAAAAGAGUGGCCUCACUUCUUUAGGUUCCAUCUUAUGAUGGGCAUGUUGUUAGAAACGGCCUUGUAGUUGAUAUGGUAUACAAGCAACUUCUUUCCUCUCACACACUACAAAGGUACGUGCAGGGUGUCUUAUUGGUCAGGUGUGGGAUUAGAAUACCGUGGAGUUCUGUUGCAGUGUGUACGGUGUGCUUUUGCUGGUGGUUAUGCUCAUACCCAGUUAUUAGCGAUGCCGCCCUAAUCCAUACUCUGUUUAACAUAGGAGGGUUCCAGCGGCCAUUCUAGGAAAGGCCUCAGGGUUUGAGUUCAUAUAUUUGGUUGCUGGCAUGAGAUUUUAGCAAGGGAAAGAAAUAAUGGAAAAUAGAAAGGAUAGGAUCUACUCCAGGUUUUUUUUUUUUUUCAAUGUGUUGCAUGCUUAAUAUUUUGGGGAGAAUAAUGAUAAUUUUGUGAUUUUUUGACAUAAACAGAGAUCAGAUUUCUGUUGUGUAUUUUUGUGCUGCUUAUAUGGUAUCAGGAUUUCAAUUGCUUUCCAAUUCGUUCCUGUGUUUGGGGUUAUGAGCUGAGAGAAAAAGAAUCAGAUGAAGGUGCUUCAUCGGUUGUUUUAGGAAGAAGAAGAGAGAGCCCAGGAACUUGGAGCUAGCUGCGUAUUGGACAUGUAGGAAGCAAUCUGGUUAUAUUUCUUCUGCACAUCUCUUGUCAUUUGUAUAUUGAAAAAAAAAAUAAAUAAAUAAAUCUAGAAUACAGAAUUCUUUCAGGAGGGUUUCAAUCUCUGGUUUUACAUGACAACAAUAUAUAAUAUUCCAUAAUAACUUAUUAUUA